GGAGGGGUGCCGGAGCGGUUGAACGGGGCGGUCUCGAAAACCGCUAGGGCCCACGCUGGCCCUCGUGGGUUCGAAUCCCACCCCCUCCGCCA
rnacentral:tRNA from 2 species